rnacentral:rRNA from 1 species
GGGUCAGUAGGUUGGUCGUGCCACCGGUACGUACUGGUCUCACUGAUUCCUCCUUCCUGAAGAACCGUAAUGCCAUUAAUUUGGUGUUGCGGGGAAACAGGACUGUUACUUUGAAAAAACUAGAGUGUUUAAAGCAAGCUAACACUUGAAUACAUUAGCAUGGAAUAAUGAAAUAGGACGAUCGAUCCUAUUUUGUUGGUUUCUAGGAUUGACGUA